AACGAACGCUGGCGGCGCGUCUUAAGCAUGCAAGUCGGACGGCAAGAAGGGGCUUGCCCCUUCCUAGAGUGGCGGACUGGUGAGUAACGCGUGGACGACGCGCCCACCCGACGGGGACAGCCGGUAGAAAUACCGGAUAAUACCGGAUGAUCUCUUUUGGAACAAAGGCGAAAGAGGAAAGCGGCUCCGGCCGCGCGGGUGGAGCGGUCCGCGUCCUAUCAGCUAGUCGGCGGGGUGAAGGCCGAGGCGACGACGGGUAUCCGGCCUGAGAGGGUGGACGGACACAUUGGGACUGAGAUACGGCCCAGACUCCUACGGGAGGCAGCAGCUAAGAAUAUUCCGCAAUGGGGGGAACCCCGACGGAGCGACGCCGCGUGGACGACGAAGGCCGGAAGGUUGUAAAGUCCUUUUUUCCGCGAGGAAUAAGGCCGGGAGGGAAUGCCCGGCCGGUGACGGUAGCGGAGGAAUAAGCACCGGCUAAUUACGUGC
rnacentral:rRNA from 1 species